rnacentral:rRNA from 1 species
UACGGGGGGUGCGAGCGUUGUCCGGAGUUACUGGGCGUAAAGAGUGCGUAGGCGGUUUUCUAAGUUUGGUGUGAAAUCUCCCGGCUUAACUGGGAGGGUGCGCCGAAGACUGGAAGGCUUGAGUAUGGGAGAGGUAAGCGGAAUUCCUGGUGUAGCGGUGAAAUGCGUAGAUAUCGAGAGGAACACCUGCGGCGAAGGCGGGUUGCUGGGCUGAUACUGACGCUGAGGCGCGAAAGCCAGGGGAGCGAACGGG